UGGGAUAUUGAUAAUUUCUGUAUAUAAUAAUCUUCGGGAUAUAGGCUUUCUAGAAAUGUUUUUCUUUUUUUCAUAUAUUCUAUACUUUUUUGUUAAUAUGACGUUGAAUAUUGUGGUAUUUAAUGUUAAAAAAUUAACAUUUCGGGAAACACGUCACAACAAUAAACCUCCAAUGACCAUGUACAAUGUACAUGAACCUAUAAAUCUUUGAAUAUAUCAAGUUAUAUGCACUCAAAUAGCUAGAAUGGCUUAUUCAAUGAUCAUAAUAAGCAUUUUUGACCAAAUUUGGGAAAUAGAAAUAAGAAAUAUUUUGGAAAUGAUGUUCAAAGCCGUGAUUGUUCAACUUUACUUUUAAAUUAUUUUUACUUGAAUUUUGAAAUACUGAAAUAAGAAGAAUAAAUAUAGUAUGUAGUCUAUUUACAUAGUGAAAGAAGUGAAUCAAUGGAACAAUUCUGUUUCAUAUCAUAUUCCAUAGUUUCUUUUUAAUUUUUUUUUAUUUGGUUUUUUUUUUUCAGUAUUAAAACGACCGAGUAUCGAUAUCAAUGGUAACGAAAUAAGUUGACACCGCGUCUCGUCAAAACAUGUUUAAUUCGAAUUUACUCAAAAUUACACGUUCAACGAGCAUUUUCUGUGAAACCUGAUUAAAGGAAAAUUAUUGUAGACACCUAAUAGUGAUUUGUACAGAAGCGAGCCCUGGCAGGAAUGAUGGCCUCUUUUGAAAUGAAGAUUUCAUGCCUUACUCCUACUGGGACUACAACUAACUUUGGACUUGGUCACUCGUAGAUACAACAUGAAGUUGUGCCCUCUUGAUGUACAUGAGAAUGGGAGUGAUACAGAAGGGGGACUAAUUGGAAGAACUGCUGCUGGUGGUGGUGGUGCUGGACUGUCUUGAAUCUAUGGCCUAACCGACUUGAUAUUCUUCUGUUUAAUAUGGGAGCAACACACACACUCUGGCAUCUAUUGCACAGAAAAUUAUGAUCAGAUGGUGCCCUCCCUAUCAGAGUGGUGAUCACUGUCCUAUAUUUCUUUGAAAUCAUGGAUCUGUGUUUUGGUUUUACUCUCCAUGGACAAUUGAAACAGAGAAAGAAUUUGGGACCACUCCUUGGCAUAUCUGAAAUAUUUAUGUCAUAUACAUGUAAAUGAAAUUAUACAAUUUGGGUUGGAUGAAAAUCUUAUCUUCAUGUUAGAACCCAUUAGCCUAAGUUAUUUUUCCUAAAAUCUAAUUAUAAAUCAAUUAACUUGUUAAUAAAUGCUUGGUGAAUCAAUUAAUAAAUUGUAUUCAAAAACUUGGAAUUAUUUUUUUUUCACUAAUAAACUGAAAAUGUGUAUCUU